rnacentral:rRNA from 1 species
GACGAACGCUGGCGGCGUGCCUAAUACAUGCAAGUCGAGCGGACCUCUUCGGAGGUUAGCGGCGGACGGGUGAGUAACACGUGGGCAACCUGCCUGUAAGACUGGGAUAACUUCGGGAAACCGGAGCUAAUACCGGAUAAUACUUUCCCCCUCAUGAGGGAAAGCUGAAAGACGGUUUCGGCUGGCACUUACAGCUGGGCCCGCGGCGGAUUAGCUAGUUGGGGAGGUAACGGCUCACCAAGGCGACGAUGCGUAGCCGACCUGAGAGGGUGAUCGGCCACACUGGGACUGAGACACGGCCCAGACUCCUACGGGAGGCAGCAGUAGGGAAUCUUCCGCAAUGGACGAAAGUCUGACGGAGCAACGCCGCGUGAGCGAAGAAGGCCUUCGGGUCGUAAAGCUCUGUUGUCAGGGAAGAACAAGUAUCGGAGUAACUGCCGGUACCUUGACGGUACCUGACCAGAAAGCCACGGCUAACUACGUGCCAGCAGCCGCCGUAA